rnacentral:rRNA from 1 species
AGUGAACGCUGGCGGCGUGCCUAAUACAUGCAAGUCGAACGAAGUGGCGAACGGGUGAGUAAUACUUGGGUAACCUGCCCUCCUUUUUGGGAUAAGCCUUGGAAACGGGGUCUAAUACCGAAUAAAGGGGGAUGGGCUCGCGGCCUAUCAGCUUGUUGGUGGGGUGAUGGCCUACCAAGGCGGUGACGGGUAGCCGGCCUGAGAGGUGGCAGGGCCACAUUGGGAGUGAGAUACGGCGCAGACACCUGCGGGAGGCAGCAGUGUGGGAUAUGGAACAAUGGGAGAAAGACUGAUGCAGCGACGCCGAGUGGGGGAUGAAGGCUUUCGGGUUGUAAACCUAUUACGCUAACGAACGGGUAGGUGGAGAAGAAACGCCGGCUAACGACGUGCCAGCAGCCGCGGUAAUUC